rnacentral:rRNA from 1 species
CUGGCUCAGGAUGAACGCUGGCGGCGUGCUUAACACAUGCAAGUCGAACGGAGUUAAAAGUAGAAGUUUUCGGAUGGAAGCUUU